CAGGGAAGUUCUUUGUCCAGCUGGCUGUACCGGCAAAGCCCAAGUCCUGCCUCUAUUGUUACAGGAGUUGUACCUGACUCAUUUUCUGUGAUCCAUCUGGUAGAGGCAGGAUGCAAUUACUGUACAGCACCAUUAAAGGCUUAGUGCAGACAUGAGCUAACCUCCUGGAAUUAAUUUGCCAUUGUGAGGUAGAUGUUGAAAACAAUGCCAAGGUGGAUCUCUUAUCAAAGAAAGCCCGUGGCUUUUCUGUUCCUCCGGUAUUUUUCCUGCUGAUCCAAGGAGCAGCACAUUCAAGAAGAGAUGGGGAACAAGACAUAAACCUGUUUCGUUGCUCAUCCUUGCCUUUUCCACCUUGAGUGGUAGGAUGCAGAGGAGCCUCCAGCUUAUUGCUACCACUGGGAGAGGAGGAAACAGAUUUUGGAGGCUCCCACACAAAAUGGGUUUCUUACACAUCCCACUGAUGUGUACGCUACUGUGAGUCAUCCAGUGAAUUUACUACCCUGCAUGCAACAGGUUCAGUGAGCAAAGUGCCAAAGAAACCCACAGAAUAUAGCACACUCGCUAGUCCUACGUGCACAGUCAGAUGUGAUGAGCCUUUGCACAGGAUUUCCUACCAGCUUUGCCACAAGUUGACGUUGGACAAGUGGCUUCAUCCCGUGUAAUCUUAGUGUUGAGGAAAAAAAAAUGAUCUCAAAGCUACCUAUCUUAGCUGUUGAGUUUCUAAAUGCCACUUGUUUACACUUGUCUUUUUGCAUAUUUACCUUCGGUGUGCUGCUAGGUGUCGUGAAUAGUGUGCUUUAUGCUGCCAUCUCACUGCCCCUGCUUGCCUUCCCUGCUUUCUUCCCUUGGUCUGUUGCUGUGGUUUGUAAGGGAGCGAGGAAAGAGUGAAAGCUCGCAUGGCCUUUGACAUCUUUCCAGGCCAGUAAUAAAGCACUGGGAGGUUAAGUUUUAUGUUUUGCUUAGCCUUCCCCUCUGGAGACAUGAAAAGAAUUAUAGGAGUUUGAUCUAUUGUGUGGCUAGGCAACUGUGAUGGGUGCUUUAUUAAAGUCUAUAGCAAUCAAGCUAACACAAACCAGAACCUUUCUGUGCAGCUUUAUGUAACCCUUUAAAAAGUGAUGGAUGUUUUGCGGCAGGAGUGGAGGGAAAUCAGUAGGUUAGGUCAAACUGCACGACGUGAUAACCAGAACAAUUAAUAGUACUUACUGUGAAAUAGCAAGCUCUUGGCUCCGCAGAUAUUAUACGGUUUAUAAACCAGGACAGAUAGCCUUUAACGUAUGGCUCUGAUCAAAAGAGUGCCUAUAGAGCCCUCAGUACAAUAAAGCUGUUCCAUGGAGAUCAUUCUUUUCCAUGUCUGUGAUGUUUUAAGUAGUUUUUUUUGCUACUGGUUUUGCCCCUCUUUGUCUCCGCGCUAUAGGAGCAGCGCAGUUUGGGGGAGGGUACCGGAUUCCUUUCUUUCAAGAACUGGCAGCUGAACCAGUGGCAAUGGGGCCUUUUCCCCAUCGGUUGCCAUUUGUACAAAUUCACUGAAUCAGCCGCAGAGCUGUAAACGGGCAUGAUCUGUUUUUGUCUUUGUUCCUAGUGAUGAUGCCAGAAACCCUCCAGCUUGAAUUCCCGUCGCAAAGUGGGUCUGUGGUACCCGUGUUCUGAAAAAGCUUUUCUUUUGUUUGCUGUCCAACACAGAGACUCUAAGCUGGAUGUUGGGAGACACAAAGGACCUAACAGCACAGAAUGCAACUUGCUUGACAUGCCAGGGUACAUUUUCUUCUCCCUCAGCACCUUGGCUAUUUUGAUACCUUCAUUAACUUGAGACAUUCGAUUUUGUAGGUAUUGGCUGGUAGACCAAGCAGCUACUUGUCUGCUGCUCUUCCUUCCUAAAGCCAGAGAAGGAGGAAUACAACCUCAGCAGGAAGAAUCAGAAGAGGGAAGAAUCAACCACAGCAGGAAGAUUUAAAUGGCAGAAGGCAAUUUGUGCUGUACAAGUAUCGCUCUCAGCAGCAUACAGAAAACACAGCCUCCAGGAUCUCUUUGCCAUCUCAGUCUAUGCAGGGACUACAGCCCAUUUUCCUCCAAAUGGGACUACAACAAAUAAGCAGUAACACUCAGAGAGUGGUAUAAAUCUGCUAAUGAGGACAAACCAGCCCUGCGGAGAGAUGAGAGCAGGUUCCACCAGAGCAGAAUGAGAGAGGAAGAAUGGAAAGAGGCAAGAGAACAGAGCUGAGAAUUGGAACUGGAAGCUUCUCCUGUGCUCAGGCAAGCUUGGCAGAACACAUCGUGGCAAAUGGAACUGGACGCAGCAGAACCCAGGCUUAAGCCUGGCUCAGAUCUUAGACCCAGCACAGCCUCCUUAGAUCUGCAGGAUCUUUGUUUGUUUUCUUCUGUUGUAGAUCAUAAAAACACUGUUAGAACCACACAUGCUUUGCAAACUUUGAUCCAGUAACACAGGUAAGCUUGGGGACAAAGCUGCAAAAUGACUUCACAAAGUUGCCAGUAAAUGCUCAGCAGAGCUGGGUAUUGUACCUGCAAUGCACGGAAUUCCACAUUAAACCUUUAAACAACCCCCCCUCCCAUCACGUUGCAUUUCAGAACAGUAUGGGCCAGUUGUAGAGUCUGUCCACAUCAUUAUAUCCUAGCUGAUGGGUGGGCAGGUUGAGAUACAUGGUCAGAUCGUUUUGGAAUGGAAACAUUUCAAAGUGCAAUGAUAUCUAAAACACAUGGCUUGAGGAACAGAGAUACCGUGGCUCUUUAUUUUUCUGUGUGGGCUCAACCAGGUAUAGAUUAGAGCAAUUCUGGAGUAGAAACCUGACACUGGCCAGAGCAGUGCCAUGUCCCUUCCUGCUUGUACAGCCCACAGACUUUCCCACUCAGUACUUCUUCUCUUUCCUGUGCACCAGCAGAAAAGCUUGGUUAAAAAAGAGUCAUUUUCAGCUCAAGGUUUUAAAUGUUUUGUUCCUGAUGGUGAGUCAAUGAUUUUUCCAGUCCCACCCCCACAAUAAACAAGUGCAGGCUGAGUGUGGUCCAGAGGAAAAUGUGAGUUACACAUGUCCUGGCCACAUGCUCCUCCGGUACCAAUGAUAACCAUAUGGUGGCUCUCAGACCCUAGCUCUCCAACGAGAAGAAGUGUUAGCAAGCAUUAGUGCAACCUCCUGCAGAGCAGAUAUGUAACCUAGCCUCGCCUGUAGCUGCUUGCAUGUGCCCAGUAAACACCUUCACAACCUAGUACAGUUGUAGUGCCACAUUUUGUGGUUCAGCUAUGGCUAAACUGGGGAAGGUUGGGCUGAUGAGCUUGCUUGAGAAAAUUCCUAAGAAUAACACCAUGGCAGGUGUAUUGCCUGCCCUUUGUGCUGAGCCCAGACCACAGAGUAAACAGGCCUUUGCUUAGCAAUUUUAUGGUGAUAUAGGCUGUUGUUUAUUUAUUUAUUUUUUUAAAGACCUGUUUCUUCUGUCACCCUCAAAGUAACACUCAGAAAUGUGUAUGGUAUAGCCACAAAUCUAGAAGGAUGUUGCUAUACUGUUAAAGCAUCAGUGGAGCUUGGAGGAAAUGUUCCUCCCUCCCUCCCUCAGUCUGUCCCACUCUUCUUUUUCCCCAUCUCAUCAACCAGCUGCUCUUCAGUCACGUCACCUUGUCGUGGCACUGGGACCCAUUCCAGACGGCCUUUAUGUGCCUUCAUCAAGGUAGGCUGUGCUGGGACAACUUAGUCCUUCAUCUCCCAUGCCCUCUGGAAAGCAGGUACCCUGGUAUAACAAACUCAUCGCUGAACCCACAGCUCCUACUGUACUUCUCUGCUCCAAUGUUUCGCAGUCCAUCAAUUGCUUGUCAGAUUUGGGGACUGUCCUGGAAGCAACCAUGUCCCAGAACCAGUGCAGGAACCACAGCCCUCAGCAGCCCCCAGCACACAUCAUACCACCUACUGCCAGACUGGGAACUUGCCCCAGGUUGGCUGCUCUCCAUUCCCUCACUCUCUGUUCAUGCCUUAUAUCCAUUAACUGUCCAGCUAUUGCAUGAUACUGCUUGCAUGAGCUCCUAGACCCCCAUAAAUUAGCAUCAUCUUCACCAUUUUCUGUAGAGUUAAUGGGAAAGCUGAAGCCCAGAGAUCCCGAAGGAUGUUAUUCCCAUCAGGUAC